GCUGGCUUAUGUCAAGGUCCCACCAAUCCCGUCCUCGCUGUUCAGAUAAACCAGGACAAGAACUUUGCCUUCCUUGAAUUUCGGUCCGUGGAUGAGACCACGCAGGCAAUGGCCUUCGACGGCAUCAUUUUCCAGGGUCAGUCGUUAAAAAUCAGGCGGCCCUACGACUAUCGCCCCCUGCCUGGCAUCUCAGAGCAGCCCGCCUUCCACGUACCAGGGGUCGUCUCCACCGUGGUUCCAGACUCGCCACACAAGCUCUUUGUCGGAGGCCUGCCCAACUAUCUCAGUGACGAUCAG